CGGGUUUAUCAUUGCCAAACU
rnacentral:miRNA from 1 species